GUGCUCGCGUCGGCAGCACAUAUACCAAAAUUGGAAUGAUAAACAGAGAAGGUUAGUAUGGCCCCUGCACAAGGAUGACACGCAAAUUCGUGAAGUCAUCCAUAUUUUG
rnacentral:snRNA from 1 species